rnacentral:rRNA from 1 species
AGCGAACGCUGGCGGCAGGCUUAACACAUGCAAGUCGAGCGGGCACUUUCGGGUGUCCGCGGCGGACGGGUGAGUAACGCGUGGGAACGUGCCCUCUGGUUCGGAAUAACUCAGGGAAACUUGAGCUAAUACCGGAUACGCCCUUUUGGGGAAAGGCUUGCUGCCGGAGGAUCGGCCCGCGUCUGAUUAGCUAGUUGGUGAGGUAACGGCUCACCAAGGCGACGAUCAGUAGCUGGUCUGAGAGGAUGAUCAGCCACACUGGGACUGAGACACGGCCCAGACUCCUACGGGAGGCAGCAGUGGGGAAUAUUGGACAAUGGGCGCAAGCCUGAUCCAGCCAUGCCGCGUGAGUGAUCAAGGCCUUAGGGUUGUAAAGCUCUUUUAUCCGGGACGAUAAUGACGGUACCGGAGGAAUAAGCCCCGGCUAACUUCGUG